UCCACGAAUCACAGACGUGUAACGAGACUAGUAUUGGCCAAUGGUGAAUUUACCGUGCACGUGGGCCGCGUCUAAGUCGUUCCUGUACCGACCUGUUCAACAUCCGCAUCAUGCGAAUGCUCCGUAUUGAUUUUUGCGGAGGCGGAUGCGGAUUUUGAAAAUGAUGCGGAAGUUCCGCGCGUGCGGAUGCGGAUGCGAAUAUCCGCAACAUCCCUGCUUCAUAUAUUGUGACAGU